rnacentral:piRNA from 1 species
UGGCCACAAGGCAGAAAGAGCCAAACCAGAGC